rnacentral:rRNA from 1 species
GUGCCAGCCGCCGCGGUAAUACCGGCAGCUCAAGUGAUGUCCCAUAUUAUUGGGCCUAAAGCGUCCGUAGCUGGCUGCGUAAGUCCGUCGGGAAAUCCACUCGCCCAACGAGUGGGCGUCCGACGGAAACUGCACAGCUUGGGACCGGAAGGCUCGAAGGGUACGUCCGGGGUAGGAGUGAAAUCCCGUAAUCCCGGACGGACUACCGAUGGCGAAAGCACUCUGAGAAGACGGCUUCGACAGUGAGGGACGAAAGCUCGGGUCUCAAACCGGAUUAGAUACCCCAGUAGUCC